rnacentral:rRNA from 1 species
GAUGAACGCUGGCGGCGUGCCUAAUACAUGCAAGUCGGACGGAGCGCUUCGGCGCUCAGUGGCGAACGGGUGAGUAGCACAUGGGCAACCUGCCCUUCAGAGGGGGACAACAGCUGGAAACGGCUGCUAAUACCGAAUACGUUCUUUUUGUCGCAUGGCAGAGGGAAGAAAGGGAGGCUCUUCGGAGCUUUCGCUGAAGGAGGGGCUUGCGUCUGAUUAGCUAGUUGGAGGGGUAACGGCCCACCAAGGCGACGAUCAGUAGCCGGUCUGAGAGGAUGAACGGCCACAUUGGGACUGAGACACGGCCCAG